ensembl:lncRNA
AGGCCAGGCACUUGCUUGGAGUGUGUGCCUAUGAGUAAGUGUGUGUGUGUGUGUGUGUGUGUGUGUGUGUGUGUGUGUGUGUGUGUGAUAUCUAUUUCAACGUACAGGGCAUAUUUCCAGCAGCAGCAGGUAAUAGAACUGAUGAGUACAAGAUGGGAAAAAGCUUUGGUGAUGAAUGAUCAAAUUUUCAGAAACAUCUCACCUCAUUUGAUUUCUUCAUAAAAUCCAUUACAAGAAUAAAUAGUAUUUUCUUACCUCAGGCAUUCUGCAGUUCUUGGUCACAGGAUGAUGGUUUUCUGCAGUAUCUGAAGUUGGAGGUUUGUUGUUUGUUGUCUUUUGUUAAAUAGUGUGUCAUCUGAAAAAAAAACACCCACAUUUUUUCUGAAAGAACAUUGUGGCAUUGGGAGGCUGACAGAAUAAUCAACCAGUCAGCACUGGUGUAUAGGUAAGGAAUUUAUAAGAAGAACUUCCAGCUAGAGCGAUCUAUUUAAUAACCGAGGUUAGGAGAAAAAGGGCAAAUGACACAAAAAAAUAAUUGUACUGACAUAAAUGUUUCUCUUGUUGUUUUUCUUCUUUCUCUGAAAAGAAGAGCUUCAAUGGUUUGUGCUGUCCAUUUCAGUUAGCUUUGGUGGGGCUGAGGGGAAAAUUGUGAAUCCCGCAGAGGGAAGGGCUCUGUUAUUCAUAGAUGCUGAACCACUGUGCAGUUUUCUGCAGAUACUGCUAUCCCAGAAAGUACUGUCUAUUGCUAUGGCUGUUACAGGCUUCUUUUAAAAUAGUCUUCAUCCCUUGUUGAGAGUGGGGAAUGCAAAUGAUCUCCUUUUCAUUCUUGUAACUGGCCUCCAACAGUAAGUCGGAGAGUCUGCUCUCUCCAAUAAGCUCUGAGAGUCCACCUUUCUGCAGUGGCUUGUAAGGCAGGCAGUGUGGUUUUCUAUCCUUACAAUACAGCACAUUACUGAAUGCAGCAAAACUUCUCAGUUUCUGAGCCUGAGUGCAGGCUUUCUUUGGGUUAUGCCCAAGCGUGUGACAAUUUCUGCAAGGGACCACCAGGCCCUGUCAGAGCUGUGAUCCACACUGCCAUCUCCAUUUGCCCCAGAUUCUGUGAUAUGUAUCUCAGCAGGUAACGUAGGUGCAGCCAUAGUGACCAGCGUUUGCAUUAAUUACAGUGCACUAAUGGUUAAGCCUCAGAGGGGCUCACAAAUCUCUGCUGUGCUGCAAUUCCUGUAGGUGAAACAGCACCAUGGAUGACUGCAGGGACUUUGUGCCCUUUCUUUUUAUUUUAUUUAUUUAUUUUUAUUUUUAUUUGCCUGAAGGGAGGUUGUGGUGAGCUGGGGGUCAGCCUCUUCUCCUGGGUGACUAGUGAUAGGACGAGAGGGAAUGGCUUCAAGCUGCGUCAGGGAAGAUUCAGUCUGGACGUUAGGAAAUACUACUUCUCUGAAAGGGUGGUCAGGCACUGGAAUGGGCUGCCCAGAGAGGUGGUGGAGUCACCGAGCCUGGUGGUGUUUAAAGAGCAUUUGGAUGUUGUGUUAAGGGACAUGGUUUAGCGAGAACCAUUGAUGAAGGGCGGAUGGUUGGACUGGAUGAUCCUGUGGGUCUUUUCCAACCUUAGUGAUUCUAUGAUUCUAUGAUUCUUGGUUUGGCAAGCUCUCAUGCACCCUAAGAGCUCCCUUCCUCAGCAGGCUCUGACCUGCUGGUACCCAUCACCUUCUGAUCCCUCACCAAGGGUUGGUGAGCCCUCUCAAAUUUUCAAACUGUGCCUUACAUAAAUGACAAUUUUUUCUAAAAUUUCAGUCUCUUCAGAUUCUCAGUUGCUUUAAAACAAAAGUGUUUCCUGUUUCUUUCCCUGUUUGCAGGGAAACACCAUUCUAAGCCUUUUCGGCUGACAGGUUUCCAGAGAGAUUAAACUUUAGACUAGGUUUUACUGCUUCGUUAUCUUCUUAGAUAUUUGUUUAACUUUUUUGACUUCUGAACCGUGUGUUGUGCAGAGGUCACUGAGAUGAGGAGUCAGAAACGGGUUGUAAGUAGACAUUAAAAGUACAGUUUUCACGGGUCUCAAUAGGGAAAACACUAUUGAAAUUUUGUAGGCCAUUUGAGCUUUUAACGUGUUGUUCUGCCUAAAAAUCUUCAAGGAAGUGCUGAGAGAAUGAAAUUUUAGGUCAUGAAAGAUGGCAAGGCUGAGAACUCAGAAAGACAAAAUCCUCUGUGUUUAAGAGAGCAGCGUGGCUCUUGUAACAGGCCGGUGGCCAUACAGUCCUCCCGUGGCUUCAACAAGGUGCUGAACUGGAAGGAGCUUUGUGCGGCUUGGAGUUUGGUCCAGACUCAGGCCUCUGUAGAAGAAAGGACACUGGAGACAGCCUGUAGGGCCAAGAUGGGCUCCCAAGGCAAAUUGGGUGCACCAAGCUACCCAGGUUUCUUGAAGGAGGCAGUGGAAGAGUCCCUGAGCCAAUCCUGCCCUUGCAGUUUCACAGGCUAUCCCCUGGGGCCAGUAUUCUGGCAAGUCCCAUGUAUCGCUUGUAGGUGUUGGGCAAAUAUCUGUGUCAGGAAGGCUGAACCCUGAGCCUCAUGUACAGUUGCUAUGUUGUCAGUGAGAUUAAAAACAGCCAGCUGCAGCUUCUGCCAUUUGGGUUAAGUGUUUUAAAUUUUAUUGCAAGUAGGUUGACUUAGCAUAUUCGGACACCAAAAUUUCUGCGCUGAAGGAGCUGAACUGCUCUCUCCUCCUCUCUCCCCCUCUUAACUUGGUUUUUGGCAGUAGAUUCCAGAAAAAACAUCUGCUACCCUUGGCAACUAAAGGCACCUUCGUUUACAGAUCGAUUCUGUAUAAAUACCGAACAAAAUGUAUAUUAUUGAUGCUUGGCUUGGGUUUAGUAUAAGAUUUGCCUCAAGCUAGUUUUUCCUCCUUUGGUUUUACAGCAUAAGUGUAAGAUACAUACUGCAGAUACAAACUUUCCAUCGAUCUGAUAUUCUCAUAUCUAAUUGAGGCCUGGUGGCCACCACCUGCUGCCUCUGCUUCUAACGGUAUAGCCUGAAAACUGCAAUCCAAAGUGAGUAUCCCUUUUCAGUUGCCAAAUAAUCAAGUAGAAAUGGGCUGCAUUUUACCUGGACCUUUCUGGAUCUACGUCAGGCCCAGAGUAUGCUCCCUAGCCCAGCAAAUGUCCUGGGAGCUCUGAACAAAUUAUUGCGAUGAGUUGCUUGCUCCAUAAACUUUGUCCUUUCUCCCCUUUGGGUCUUGAUCUGCUCGUAAAUGCAUCGGCAUUUUAUCAAGUGCACCCAGCAUUUCUGUAAAGGAUUCUUUGUCCGCAGAUCUGCUGGAAUCCUGUCCAACUGACUGGAGACAGAGGUUACAUGAGAAUGCACUUCAGUUCAAACCUGGGCACACUCUGUGCAAACCUGCACCUUUGGGGCAAUGAAGAGUGAAACAUGGCUUUUAUAAUACGAGAUGCACCAAUGUGAGCACACGCUUAGAGCAACCUGGCAGUGUCUCUGCACAUAGCAUCAACCUACCCAUUUAAUGUGGCCAGGCACUGGCAAUGAAUUAUUGUGUUGUGAGGGCCUGUACAAGAGACCUUGUGAUAAGGCUGUUUUUAGGGGGGUAAGAGGCAGAAAAUGUGAGAUCUUGCAGCAGCUCUGGCAGAGGUAGUGCUGUGCUGAGCAACAAAGAGCUGGUGAGACUUCGCCAGUUUCUGAGGUAACAUGGCCCAAGGGAGGCAGGCAGACUGAGGAAGAAGAGGACAGAUCUCCUUCUGGGUGGCGAGCAGCCCCCAGCCAAGCUAGUGAGAGCAACCAUGCAUGCUUGGGGAUGCCUCCUUGGGUCCUUCACUCACUACCCUGAAGUCUUCUCCCAUGUGGUGCUGAGGCACCUGGUUUUACAAAUGGUAUUUCAUUGAGUGUUCUCCUUUUCUCUGUGAUUGGAAAAGUGCUGCACUGCUGUUAGCUUUUGGAGAUGGUUUAACUUGGGGAGAAGAUGACAGGCUGUUGUGAGGCCUGUUCCCUGUUAUCAUCUCCUGAGCAGGGAUCAGCAUGAAGUGGGCCAGGCAAGGACUGGGACCAUCAAGAGGAGGGUGUGCCCCAAGAGCAGACAUAUGCAAUGUCAGCAAGUCAGUGUGCUAAGGACAGAUUCAUAACCCAGUAUUAAAGCUAGUUUGUAAGCUUUAGGGGAGCAAUGGCUUGCUAGAGCAGAAAUGUCAUUAUUCUUAUUAGCACUGGUAGUUUUAGACCAAAUCCUCUGUCCUCACUCCCCCUGAGAGUUUGCUGAUUUUCAAUUAAGAAAUGUUGUGACCCAAGUUGGGUGAAACGUUUAUUUUUGGACAAGGGAACAUCUUCUCUGAAUGACAUGGCUAGAAACAGGAGCAAUAAAUCUUAUUUUCAUUCCAGGGCUCUCUGAAGCUUGUCAGGGAUGCUGAAGAUAAUCAAAACCUCAUCUUAUUAAAGAUCCUUCUCUUCGUCAGUAUGUUGUCUACUGGUAAAGUGGGAGGCUCAGUCAGUGAUGCCAGAGCAGACUGAAGGCUCAUAGAGAAGCUAAUUAUAUUUUGCUUUUUUUUUUCUUUCUUUCAUUGCAGAAAGACAGAAUAGUUGUGAAUAAAUUAGGAAAGGGGAGGGUGAGGAGACCUGAGAGUUCAUUAAUAUUCAUAUUUAGCCACAAGUACACAGAAAAGGUGACAAGGAGCUGGCUCCCUGGAAACCUAUGCACCUUGGCAGUAGAUGGAAAAUUGCAUUUAAUUAUAGCUACCUUUAGCUCUGCACCUAAUGAGCAUGUUCGAAACCAUGCAGGGUUGCUGUAUACUAAGGGAAGAUCCAAGACUGAGACAGAAAAUGAAAACCUUUCCUCCUUCUUCCCUGCUCUGCUGAAUUUAAAAUAAUUCUGCCAAGGCCCAGGAGACCAAGUGGACUUUUAUUCUUGAUUUCUCAGAGAUUAAAACAGAAACCCAUCCAACAAAAAUAGAAAUCAAAUAAGAUAGUCAGUAGUGGGAAACAAGCACGUUUUAAUGGGAAGUGAAAGGAUGGAGACUUAUACCAUUCUCACUUUUCCUAGUAAGUGCUGCUGGGGUCUUGAGGUCUCUUUUUUUCUCGCGUUUCCUGCUGUGAUAUAUACUUUUGUUUUUUUAAUAUAGCUUUCAGCAUUUUCUUCUUUAUUUAAUUUCUGGGGAAACUGCAGUCUGCAAAGGUUGCUACCUUGUAGCUGGGAAAGAGAGGAGCCAUGGAGAUUUCGUUCAGGUACACUGCUUAGGGUUGCUUUAGCAUAUUGGUUCCCACAGCAGCUUUAAAGCUGUGGAGCCAAGUCCUUCUCUAGUGCACCAGCGCGGGCAGAGAUUGAAGCCAAGGGACAUUCCCCAUACCAAUUCAUGUGAGUUUAAAAAAACAGAAUCUGGUUUAUAUUUGGCCUUUCUUCUAGUAAAAUUUGUAUUCGCAGAAUCCUAGAAUUAUUUCGGUUGGAAAAGACCUUCAAGAUCAUCAAGUCCAACCAUCAACUUGACCAGUGUUUUCAAGUAUCUUUUAUUACAUUCCUUGUAGUACAGAUAUAUCUUUUCCUUCACCAGUAUGUACUGAACAAAACAUUUGAAGCUGCAUUUAACCUUACAGCAAGGAACUGAUGUUUGCAGUGCAUGCCCAGCAGGAAUUACUUUCAUUUCAGUGGCUGAGGCAGGGAAGCAAGUAUUCUGAAAUACUCCUUGUCUUUUUAACACAUAUUAUAUUUUUAACACAUUUAUAUUUCUGGGGCCACUUCUCACCCUCACCAGUGCUGAGGGCAGAUGGAGGAAAUCUGACGGUUGGCAAUGCUGCUGGUUUGCUUACAGCCUGACCUGUGAAAGCCUGCUCAGGCAAAGCUCAUCCUCCAAGCUAUGCCCGCUUUGGGGUGCAGGGGGAAGGAGCUGCCAAGAGCCACAUGCAGAGCCAGGAGCCCAGGGUGAACCUGAGCAUUGCAGCACCGAGCUGCAAGUUGAUGGUCGCAACCUGCCCCUGAAUCUCUCUAGUUUUAUGUUUCUAUCAGCUUCUGCUUUUUUACUUUUAUUUUUUAUUUUUUUUCCCCCUGAAAGUGCUGCCUUUCUUUCCUGGCUCUGUCUCCAGGGAAAUUUGGUAAAUCUUGGGAGAAACAGAAAAUCAUUCACAUCUCUCUCAUCUUCAGGUCUUUGUAUGGAGAGACCUUACCAACAGUUCCUGUUUCCGUGCUCCUAGCAGACAGAUAAUGUGGAUGCUUCGGGGAUUCCUGAUAUAAAUCUCUUAUGGACACACAGCAGUUCCCACAUUGCAUGUUUUCUCCCUCCUGCUCCUUUGGUUUGCAUUUUGUGAUUUGAUGUUUUCCAGUAACUACUCUCAGCUGCAGAAGCCAUACAUGUCUUUUAAUUUUUUUCCUUGCCAGGGGUGUUUUCUUCUGCUCCUGCUCUUUUGGAUUCACAUGGCUUUACUGGCAGCAUUACAGUCUGUUUGGGGUGAUUUAGAACAGGACAGAUAAAAGGCACAAAUAUUAUUCCCAGACAAAUAAGCAAGCCUAGAUAUGUCUCAAAAACUUUUAAAACAUUUAAAACCCUUAUUCACAGGCAAUUUAUAUAGCUGACUACUGGGCAAACAUAAAUCCCUAAAUCCUUCUUUUUCUUUAUUUUCAUCAGCAUUGUUUGGUUUUUCUUAUGCUUUUCUUGUCAGCUUAUUUCUAAAGAGCAGUAGGUACCACUGUGCUUUCAAAAACUGCGUUAUUUUUCUUUUUAGACAUCUGCAUAACACAGCAAAGUUUUAUCUCAUUUGCCACGUAUUUUGUGAUCAAAAAUAGACUUUAAUAAUGAUGAAGAAAGAAACCCUUUACGCACGUCUGUCUGCAGAGGCACGGUAGGUACCCAUGGUUGGAUGCUGCUGUCUGCGUGUUAUCUCCUAUUUAUCAGAGCCCAGCCCCUCACCAAGCUGUCAGCUGAACAGAGGGGACGCAGAGUGACAGGCAUUUCUGAGCAGACUUUGGGAUGUGCCAGAGCCCCAGAGUGAGCCAUGAUGUGUGACAGACAUCCAGCGUGAUAACCCACAUCGGCGCUUCACAUGCUGCGGGAUGCCUCUCUGUGGGAAAAAUAGCUGGAGAGGGGUGGCCAGCACACUGGGGUCCUGCUGGCUGGUGCUGCAGGGAAGGAGACACUGCUGAAGACAAUACAGCUCAGUCUGGAGAUAGUCAGGGGAGAAUUUCCUUUGAAUUCUUCUCAGUCUUUCAGAUGUAAGGUCAUUGUGAGACCUUGCCUCGUGUGCAUCGCUGCAGUUUGCUUCAGGGGUAUCUUUUGCCAGCCACCUGGCUUGCCACUGGUCUGAGGAAGAGUGGGAAAAGCGAAAAAUACGGAGUCUGUGUGAAUGUGUUUUUUUCCAGAAUCUUUUUGUUUAAAACUGUGGGGAAAAUUAGAAUUUUGAAUAAUGCCCAGAACCAGACGAAGUAAUUGAGCCUUAAGAGAAAGCACUUAGGCCCUGAGAGACUGCCGCUGCACUUCAGUAAAGGUGCAUGAGGAAUCUGCGUGCUUUCUGCAGCCCAAGUUGUCUUGUCCCAGCAGAUCCUCCCCUAGGACACAGCCUCCCUCCAAGGGCUGAGGUACUGCACAACAGGAGUCCUCUGCCUCCCCACAUCACAGGGAAUAGGGCCUCCGUGCAUUAGAACCUCUCUUGAGACACUUCAGCGAUAUUCGCAGCCAAAACAUUUUGAUUUUCAGUGAAAUACAUCAGAAAUAUUUUCUUUCCGGG